rnacentral:rRNA from 1 species
CGUGGGUAACCUGCCUCAUACAGGGGGAUAGCAGCUGGAAACGGCUGAUAAAACCGCAUAAGCGCACAGCAUCGCAUGAUGCAGUGUGAAAAACUCCGGUGGUAUGAGAUGGACCCGCGUCUGAUUAGCCGGUUGGUGAGGUAACGGCCCACCAAGGCGACGAUCAGUAGCCGGCCUGAGAGGGUGACCGGCCACAUUGGGACUGAGACACGGCCCAA